UACGUAGGGGGCAAGCGUUGUCCGGAUUUAUUGGGCGUAAAGAGCGUGUAGGCGGCCAUACAGGUCCGUUGUGAAAACUGGAGGCUUAACCUCCAGACGUCGAUGGAAACCGUAUGGCUAGAGUCCGGAAGAGGAGAGUGGGAUUCCUGGUGUAGCGGUGAAAUGCGCAGAUAUCAGGAAGAACACCCGUGGCGAAGGCGGCUCUCUGGGACGGUACUGACGCUGAGACGCGAAAGCGUGGGGAGCGAACAGG
rnacentral:rRNA from 1 species